CCUACGGGUGGCAGCAGUGGGGAAUAUUGGGCAAUGGGCGCAAGCCUGACCCAGCAACGCCGCGUGAAGGAAGAAGGCCCUCGGGUUGUAAACUUCUUUUGUCAGGGACGAAGAAAGUGACGGUACCUGACGAAUAAGCCACGGCUAACUACGUGCCAGCAGCCGCGGUAAUACGUAGGUGGCAAGCGUUAUCCGGAUUUACUGGGUGUAAAGGGCGUGUAGGCGGGGUGUCAAGUCAGCGGUAAAAUUUCGGGGCUCAACCCCGUCGUGCCGUUGAAACUGACACCCUUGAGUGAGUGAGAAGUAAGCGGAAUGCGUGGUGUAGCGGUGAAAUGCAUAGAUAUCACGCAGAACGCCGAUUGCGAAGGCAGCUUACCGGCGCUCAACUGACGCUGAGGCACGAAAGUGCGGGUAUCGAACAGGAUUAGAUACCCUUGUAGUC
rnacentral:rRNA from 1 species